rnacentral:lncRNA from 1 species
CAGUCCAUUUUUAAAAAUAGCUUCUGUGAUGGCAAACCAUCAUUUGUCAGUGGGUUUGAACUUGUGGAAACAUAGUCAUUUGUUGACAAGUAUGGUAAAUGAUGAAGGUGAAAUUAUUUUUUAAAAACAAUGUAGAGUAAUAAAUUAAUAAUAAAAGUAUGUUUGAAAGCAUUUUCAAGGAAAAGUUACAAAAUAUGAGAAAUGUCUCCCCAUACAACUAUUCAACAUGUAAACUGAAUAUUAAAAUUUUUUGAACUAUGUUUUAUCUCAUAACAAAGAACCUCAUCUUGCUCUUUCAUUGUGAAUAUUUUAAAGUGCAUGAUGAGAGGUCUAAGCAAUCAUUAUAAGAAAUCAUUAUAGAAAUUAUUCUGUGAGAAAAUAAAUAAAUAGUUGAUCACUUUAUAAGUUCAGGGUUAUAGACAAUUGAAUGUUGUUUCUCUAAAUCUGAAUGCUUUCAUGGCAUAUUUUGCAAGUAAGUUAUCUUUAAGAUACUGAGUUGAUGUAUUUUCAUCCCUUCCAGAUAUCCUUAAACUUAUUUUUUUACCCUUGAUUUCAACUUCCCACAUCAGCCUUGUCAGACUGAACCCUUGAACCACAGAUAGACUAGCCUUGGACCCACCUCCCUCCUGUGCCUCCCUAAGCUAUUUUCAGAAGAUGAGUUCCUUCUCUUCAGAAAUGUGUUUUCUCCCAUGUGGUCACCAUUCAAAAACAGGCUAGUUUUGUUUUGUUUCUUAGCUUUCUCAGUGCAUAGGCAGACAUUGUCACAUGUGAUUGAGCAUGAGGGUAUAGCCAGAAGACCUGGAACCAGUUAAUGGCCUUCUACUUGCCAAUCAUGCCAUCUCAUCCAGGUGGCUGAACUGCUCUGUGCCUCAGUUUCCUCAUGGGCAAAUUUGAAAAAAAUCAUAGCUUCUAAUUUAGGUGUUGUUAGGUUUUAAAUGAGUUAACAUUUAAAAUACUUCAAAGAGCAUCUGGUACAUGGUGAGUCUCCAUAAACAUUUGCCAUUAUCAUUACAUUAAAGUAAAUAUACAGAGUGAGGUUUUUUGCUGUCAUAAUAUUUUUUUUGUCCUUUUAUGGCCACACCAGUGGCAUAUAGAGGUUCCCAGGGUAAGGGUUGAAUCAGAGCUACAGCUUCUGGCCUACACCACAGCCACAACAACGCCAGAUCCGAGCUGUGUCUGGGACCUGCAUCACAGCUAACGGCAACAUCAGAUCCUUAACCCACUGAGCAAGGCCAGGGAUCGAAUCUGCAUUCUCAUGAGUAAGAGUCAGAUUUGUUUCUGCUAAGCCACGACGGAAAAUCCUGUUAUAACUUUUAAAAUAAUUUUGAAAUCUGUGCAGAACAUUUUCUCAUACCUGUAAACAUGUUUCUAGCUGAUAAUAUUUUAGCUUGUGGAUGCACCAUAAUUUACCACAUUAAUCCCUUAUGUUUGAUAUUUAGAUGGUUUCCAUUUUUUGCUAUUUUAAAUAAUAUGAAAAUGUUAUUCAUCCUUGUUUUCCUAAAAUCAUAGGAGAUCCUGAACAAUUCCAUAGGGUGUGUGCAUUUUAAUCCUUUUGAUAUCUUUUUUUCUAAAUUGGACACUAGAAAUAUAUCAACUCGCAUUCCCAUCUGUGGAGACAUCGAUUUCUGUAGCUCACUGUGCACAUUUCAGUCUGACCAUCCAGCAUAAUCCCCCUUCUACUUCUUUAAUCUAUGAGCUACUUCUGCACAUUCCCCAGAUUCCCCACAUAGAAAAAAAGGGUUUUUUAACUGGUUCAGUCAUCCAAAUCAUCAUUGGUGAUUCAUAUUACUUGGAAUAUAUUAUCCCAAAUGUUUUGUUCUUUCACUUUGCCUUUGUCUUUUAUCUUUGUUCCAUUUCCCGUUGUUCCCUCUCCUUGCCCCUUAAAUCUUGUCACAGACCUGUUUCUCCAGAAAGGCAUAAGCUCCCAACCUCAGGAAUUUUCCUCAGAUAUGCUGUCACCAGAGAAAGCUUAGAGUCACUGCAACACAAAGACGGACUUUCUUCCUUUACGCCAGACACAAUGCUAGAGGAACAGAAAGGAAGGCUUACAACAAAAGCAGAGACAGAAAAAACAUAAAAUAAGGGACAAAACAGACACAAAUGAGGGCAUUUGGAAGGAACCUCUAUUAUUGGGCAUAAUUUUUUUAAUUAUAGUUAAUUUAUAAUGUGCCAAUUUCUGCUGUACAGCAAAGUGACCCCGUCAGAUAUAUCUUCUAUCAUGGUCUAUCCCAAGAGACUAAAUAUAGUUCCCCAUGCUAUAUAGUAGGACCUCAUUGCUAAACCAUUCUAAGUGUAAUAGUUUGAAUCUACUAACCCCAAACUCCCAGUCCCUCCCACUCCCCUCCUUUUCCCCCUUGGUAACCGCAAGUCUGUUCUCUGUGUCUGAGUCUGUUUCUGUUUUGUAGAUAGAUUCAUUUGUGCCAUAUUUUAGAUUCCACAUACAAGUGAUAUCAUAUGGAAUUUAUCACUGUCUUUCUGACUUAAGUCACUUAGUAUGAUAAUCUCUAGUUGCAUCCAUGUUGCUGCAAAUAGCAUUAUUUCAUUCUUUUUAUGACUGAGUAGUAGUCCAUUGUGUGUGUGUAUGUGUGUGUGUGUGUAUAUCUGUAUCUAUGUAUAUAUCACGUCUUAAUCCAUUAAUCUGUUGAUGGACAUGGAUUAAGACUGUUUCCAUGGAUUAGAUUGUUUCCAUGUCUUGGGUAUUGUGAAUAGUGCUACUGUGAAUAUAGGGGUAUAUGUAUCUUUUUGAAUUGUAGUUUGCCCAGGAGAGGGAUUGCUGGAUCAUACAGUAGUUCUAUAUUUAGUUUUCUGAGGUAUCUCCACACUGUUUUCCAUAGUGGUUGUACCAAUUUACAUUCCCACCAACAGUAAAGGAGGGUUCCCUUUUCUCCACAUCUUCUCCAGCAUUUGAUUUUUGUAGACUUAUUAAUGAUUAUUAUUCUGAUUGAUAUGAGAUGAUACCAUUGUAAUUUCGAUUUGCAUUUCUCUAAUAAUUAGUGAUGCUGAGCAUUUUUUCAUGUGUCUACUGGCCACCUGUAUGUCUUAUUUGGAGAAAUGUCUAUUCAGGUCUUCUGCACAUUUUUUGAUUGGGAUGUUUGUUUUUUUGUUGUUGAGUUAUAUGAAUUGUUUGUAUUUCUUGGAGAUUAAGUCUUUGUUGGUUGCGUCAUUUGCAAUUAUUUUCUCCCACUCCGUAGGUUGUCUUUUUGUUUUUUUUAAUGCUUUCCUUUGCUGUACAUAAGCUUGUAAGUUUGAUUAAGUCCCAUUUGUUUAUUUUUGUUUUUAUUUCUAUUAUCAGGCAUAAUUUUAAGGUAGGGAUCAUCAUAUGGAGCAGUGUGUUCCUAUUUGCACUGGAAAAUAGUACCUAAGAAUACAUGUGCAUUGCUUGUUUAUCCAUAAUAUACCUCUGCCAGAACACAGAGAACUCUGGGGGCUCUGACUAACCCUGGAAAGGAAAACUGGGGAGUUGAGAAGAGGGAUGUUAAAAGAUUCUUUUCGCUAUCUUUUUAUCAUCUGAAUUUGCAACUAUAUGAAUGCGUUGUCUAUUAAAAAGUAGAAGUAAAAUAUAUUAAAACUUCUCUCUCACACAUGAAUGCCUUGUUUUACUCCACUUACAUAAUGGUGCUUUCUUUUGUAGAACCUACCUACUUCCUACCUUUAUCCUUAAUUGUCCCAUUAGCAUACAUAAUAAAGGACCCCUGAGAUUAAAGACUUUCUUCUGACAAAAUUCUUAAUUGUAAAUCUCAAUUAUCCACAGGCUAAAUAUGACAGAUCUCUGUCAUAUAAAAUCUUUGCAGGUUAUCUUCAUUUUCAUUUUAGGUUUGGUGAAAACUAAGGGCUUGGGGGAUGGCGGUAGGAGGAUGGCAAUUGCUUCCAGGUUUCAUAGAAUCAAUGGCAGGCUUAGGGAAAAAAGCUUUUCUAUAUUUCUUUUUCUUUUCUUUUUUCUUUUUCUUUUUUCAAAAGAAGGAACUCAUUAUGUUUGGGCUCCCACAGCUACAUUGUCUAAAAACAUUUUGGCUUUUUUUUUUUUGUGGUACUUGAAUACAAUUCAGAAUGAGUCACUUGGACAAGUGGUCUUAACGGCACGGAAAACAAACACUUUAUGAAAACAACAUCUAUAGGCCUAAGCCUCCUGUCUUUUAUCUUUACUAUUUUCUCCGAGUCUGGCAUGAAACAGACAUACACCAAUCUCCACAGGGGUUAAAUAGAGAACCAUCCAAACAUCACAAAGCACCGUCCAGAAUGUUGAUGACUUCCACUCCCCAACUCUAGUGCACAAGGCCUGGCUGGUGGUGCAGAGACCAUGGUGUCCUGGCUGGGACAGGCACUCACAGUGUGUGCCAGAAUCAGCAGUUCUCAGCCUCAGCACAAGGCACACACGUCUCAGAAUGAGUCUCCAUCCUUUGUCUGGUGAACAGUAUAAAUAGCUUGCUCCACAUCUGGCUCAAAGCCCGUUUCUGCUCAAUCUUAGAGUAGGGUCUUUUCUCCCACUUUGUUUUAGGUCAGCUUUUAGCAUCACUUGUUUAAUGCACUAAGCUCUUACUUCUGUGUAUUAUCAAACCUAGGGAUGGAGGGAAGACUGAAGGAUCUGGACAUGUGCUUUUUAGGCGAUCAGACAAGGCUGAGGGCUAAGGCAUUAGUUCUUGGGUCUUCCGAUCUCAGAGAAAGGAACCCUCUCUAGAACGUGAACUCUAAAUCCAGAGGGCUUAUACACAGGGGAGGAUAUACUACGGAAUCACAUUAGAUGCUAGAAGUGGUUUGUUCUGAGAGGGGUUGUGGGUAAUCCCUAUGUUGUUCUUCUUUAUAACCUUGUAUACUUUUCACAUUUCCUACAGUGAGCCCCCUCCUUAGUAAGUCUGUAAGCGUGAAUAGGUACAUCAUCUUGUAGAAUCUCUCUCUUUUUAAGAAAUCUUUAAAAUGGAGACAAGAGUAAAAAUACUUAGGGCUAUCGGAAGGGUGAC